UAAUUUUCUUUCAUUUCUCAUUUCAACACUUUCUCAGACACAGUUAAACGAAAAUAAUUCCAAACAUUUAGUUUUUAUUUUCAUGUACUCGUAAAUUGCUUCACCACCACUUGCCUUUGGGAAUCACAAAUUAGUGCCCUCCCAGCGGCAUAGAAUUCGGGAAACCACUUCUUUGGCGCAAAAUUGGCAACACCAACCGGCAGACGUGCCGCAAUGGCCAAAGAAGUGCCAAAGAAAAACAACAAUCUAUUUGGAAAUCGACAUAUUGGCCCUCUCGGCCCCUAAUACAGCCGCUUCACUCAUAAAACCAAAAACAUUUAAUUUCUUUUUUGCUAUUUUCGCCCGCUGUAUAUAAAAUUAUUUUUUGUUAUUGUUGCUCAAAAUUGAAGGCAAAUAAACAAAAGUUUGGUAA